GGAGAGAUGCCUGAGCGGUCGAAAGGAACGGUUUGCUAAAUCGUCGUAGGAAGCAAUUUCUACCCAGGGUUCGAAUCCCUGUCUCUCCGCCA
rnacentral:tRNA from 1 species